GGCUCAGGAUGAACGCUGGCGGCGUGCCUAAUACAUGCAAGUCGAGCGAACAGAUAAGGAGCUUGCUCCUUUGACGUUAGCGGCGGACGGGUGAGUAACACGUGGAUAACCUACCUAUAAGACUGGGAUAACUUCGGGAAACCGGAGCUAAUACCGGAUAAGAUUUUGAACCGCAUGGUUCAAUAGUGAAAGACGGCCUUGCUGUCACUUAUAGAUGGAUCCGCGCCGUAUUAGCUAGUUGGUAAGGUAACGGCUUACCAAGGCAACGAUACGUAGCCGACCUGAGAGGGUGAUCGGCCACACUGGAACUGAGACACGGUCCAGACUCCUACGGGAGGCAGCAGUAGGGAAUCUUCCGCAAUGGGCGAAAGCCUGACGGAGCAACGCCGCGUGAGUGAUGAAGGUCUUCGGAUCGUAAAACUCUGUUAUCAGGGAAGAACAAACGUGUAAGUAACUGUGCACGUCUUGACGGUACCUGAUCAGAAAGCCACGGCUAACUACGUGCCAGCAGCCGCGGUAAUACGUAGGUGGCAAGCGUUAUCCGGAAUUAUUGGGCGUAAAGCGCGCGUAGGCGGUUUUUUAAGUCUGAUGUGAAAGCCCACGGCUCAACCGUGGAGGGUCAUUGGAAACUGGAAAACUUGAGUGCAGAAGAGGAAAGUGGAAUUCCAUGUGUAGCGGUGAAAUGCGCAGAGAUAUGGAGGAACACCAGUGGCGAAGGCGACUUUCUGGUCUGUAACUGACGCU
rnacentral:rRNA from 1 species